rnacentral:rRNA from 1 species
AGUGAACGCUGGCGGUAGGCCUAACACAUGCAAGUCGAACGGCAGCACAGGAGAGCUUGCUCUCUGGGUGGCGAGUGGCGGACGGGUGAGGAAUACAUCGGAAUCUACUUUUUCGUGGGGGAUAACGUAGGGAAACUUACGCUAAUACCGCAUACGACCUACGGGUGAAAGCAGGGGAUCUUCGGACCUUGCGCGAUUGAAUGAGCCGAUGUCGGAUUAGCUAGUUGGCGGGGUAAAGGCCCACCAAGGCGACGAUCCGUAGCUGGUCUGAGGGGAUGAUCAGCCACACUGGAACGUGGACACGGUCCAGACUCCUACGGGAGGCAGCAGUGGGGAAUAUUGGACAAUGGGCGCAAGCCUGAUCCAGCCAUACCGCGUGGGUGAAGAAGGCCUUCGGGUUGUAAAGCCCUUUUGUUGGGAAAGAAAUCCAGCUGGUUAAUACCCGGUUGGGAUGACGGUACCCAAAGAAUAAGCACCGGCUAACUUCGUGCCAGCAGCCGCCGUAA